rnacentral:tRNA from 2 species
GCGGGGGUUCCCGAGUUGGCCAAAGGGGCAGGACUUAAGAUCCUGUGUGCGUAAGCCUUCAGGGGUUCGAAUCCCUUCCCCCGCA